rnacentral:rRNA from 1 species
UUUAAGAAGAGUUUGAUCCUAGCUCAGGAUGAACGCUGGCGGCGUGGAUAAGGCAUGCAAGUCGAACGAACCUUGUCCUUUUGAUCGAUAAAGUAACGUGGAGUAGCAAUACAAAACGAAGCGAUAUUUUGAAGAAGGACGCUGGUUAGUGGCAAACGAGGUAGUAACACGUAGAUACGUCCCCCAAAGUCGCGAAUAACUCACCGAAAGGUGUGCUAAUACGCGAUAGUCCCUCCGGGGUAAAGUUUUUCGCUUUGGGAACGGUCUGCGGGAUAUCAGCUAGUUGGUAGGGUAAAAGCCUACCAAGGCUAUGACGUCUAGAGGAGCUGAGAGGCUGACCCUCACCGAUGGGACUGAGACACGGCCCAUACACCUACGGGUGGCUGCAGUCGAGAAUCUUCCACAAUGGACGAAAGUCUGAUGGAGCGACGCCGCGUGGUUGAUGAAGUGCUUCGGCACGUAAAGACCUUUUAUGAGGGAAGAAGUUUAUUGACGGUACCUCAUGAAUAAGGGGCUCCUAACUCUGUGCCAGCAGGAGCGGUAAUACAGAGGCCCCGAGCGUUAUCCGGAAUUAUUGGGCGUAAAGGGUGUGUAGGUGGCGUAGUUAGUCGGUUGUUAAAGACCCGGGCUUAACCUGGGGAAUGCGACCGAAACGGCUAUGCUUGAGUAUGUGAGAGGUAAGCGGAACUCAAGGUGUAGGGGUGAAAUCCGUUGAUAUCUUGGGGAACACCAAAAGCGAAGGCAGCUUACUGGCACAUUACUGACACUGAAACACGAAAGCGUGGGUAGCGAAUGGGAUUAGAUACCCCAGUAGUCCACGCCCUAAACGAUCUCAACUAGCUAUACGGAGUAUCGACCCUCUGUGUGGCGAAGCUAACGCGUUAAGUUGAGCGCCUGGGAAGUACGGCCGCAAGGCUAAAACUCAAAGGAAUAGACGGGGACUCGCACAAGCGGUGGAUUAUGUGGUUUAAUUCGUAGGUAAACGAAGAACCUUACCAAGUCUAGAAAUCAACGUGAAAGCCCCAAGAAACUGGGGCCCUCGCAAGACUCGUUGACAGGUGUUGCAUGGCCGUCGUCAGCUCGUGGUUUGAACUGUUCCCUUAAGUGGGCUAACGAGCGCAACCCUCGUCGUCUGUUACAAGUGUCAGGCGAGACCGCCCAGCCCAAAGAGUAUAUCUUCGGAGGCUCUGUGGUGAAGCACAGUAUUUAUAUUGCGCUUCACCACUGAGUCUCUGAGGCAUACUGGAUCUCGAGUGGAAAGAAAAAGUAUUUAUAUUUUUUCUUUCCACUUGGGGUCUAGCCGAUGUACUUUUCGGGCUGGGAGGAAGGAGAGGAUGACGCCAGGUCAGCAUGACCCUUGAUGACUUGGGCCACACACAUAAUACAAUGGUUGCUACAAUAGGCAGCGACGGAGCGAUCCUGAGCCAAUCCUAAAAGGCAGCCCUAGUUCGGAUAAAAGUCUGCAACUCGACUUUUUGAAGCUGGAAUCGCUAGUAAUCGCAGGUCAGCCAAACUGCGGUGAAUACGUUCUCGAGUCUUGUACUCACCGCCCGUCAAUUCAAGGGAGCCGGUAGUACCCGAAGGCUCUCCAUAAGGAGGGACUACGGUAAGAUCGGUGACAGGGAAUAAGUCGUAACAAGGCACGGCUAGCGGAAGCUGGUCGUGGAUUAACUCAAAU